AUUGAACGCUGGCGGCAGGCCUAACACAUGCAAGUCGGACGGUAGCACAGGGGAGCUUGCUCCCCGGGUGACGAGUGGCGGACGGGUGAGUAAUGUCUGGGAAACUGCCUGAUGGAGGGGGAUAACUACUGGAAACGGUAGCUAAUACCGCAUAACGUCCCAAGACCAAAGAGGGGGACCUUCGGGCCUCUUGCCAUCAGAUGUGCCCAGAUGGGAUUAGCUAGUAGGUGGGGUAACGGCUCACCUAGGCGACGAUCCCUAGCUGGUCUGAGAGGAUGACCAGCCACACAGGAAAUGAGACACGGUCCAGACUCCUACGGGAGGCAGCAGUGGGGAAUAUUGCACAAUGGGCGCAAGCCUGAUGCAGCCAUGCGGCGUGUAUGAAGAAGGCCUUCGGGUUGUAAAGUACUUUCAGCGGGGAGGAAGGUGUUGUGGUUAAUAACCACAGCAAUUGACGUUACCCGCAGAAGAAGCACCGGCUAACUCCGUGCCAGCAGCCGCCGUAA
rnacentral:rRNA from 1 species